rnacentral:rRNA from 1 species
ACAUCGGAAUCUACUCUGUCGUGGGGGAUAACGUAGGGAAACUUACGCUAAUACCGCAUACGACCUACGGGUGAAAGCAGGGGACCUUCGGGCCUUGCGCGAUUGAAUGAGCCGAUGUCGGAUUAGCUAGUUGGCGGGGUAAAGGCCCACCAAGGCGACGAUCCGUAGCUGGUCUGAGAGGAUGAUCAGCCACACUGGAACUGAGACACGGUCCAGACUCCUACGGGAGGCAGCAGUGGGGAAUAUUGGACAAUGGGCGCAAGCCUGAUCCAGCCAUACCGCGUGGGUGAAGAAGGCCUUCGGGUUGUAAAGCCCUUUUGUUGGGAAAGAAAUCCAGCUGGCUAAUACCCGGUUGGGAUGACGGUACCCAAAGAAUAAGCACCGGCUAACUUCGUGCCAGCAGCCGCGGUAAUACGAAGGGUGCAAGCGUUACUCGGAAUUACUGGGCGUAAAGCGUGCGUAGGUGGUCGUUUAAGUCCGUUGUGAAAGCCCUGGGCUCAACCUGGGAACUGCAGUGGAUACUGGGCGACUAGAAUGUGGUAGAGGGUAGCGGAAUUCCUGGUGUAGCAGUGAAAUGCGUAGAGAUCAGGAGGAACAUCCAUGGCGAAGGCAGCUACCUGGACCAACAUUGACACUGAGGCACGAAAGC